rnacentral:lncRNA from 1 species
CGAGCUCCAGCUCGUCCAACGUCAGCUCCGCCGCGGAGCCUCUUUCCCUGACGACAAUCUUGGUCACCCCGGGGUGGAUUUCGACGGUGUGGGCCCUGACGUCGUGGCCGAAGCUCUCGGUUUCGGCGACGAAGCGGAAGCAGUCGGGGUUCUCCUCGAUGAGGACGUCGGCGUCGGAGCGGAAAGGGAGCUCGAGGACGCGGCUGAAGACAUGGGGGAGGCGGCGGAGCUUCUUGUGGGUGAGGCCGAGGAGGGCCUGGGCUUCAGAAAGCGG